UCCCUCUUCUCUUAAAACCCUUGUGCCAGCGUAGAGCAAAGCAAGAUGCUACAAUGAAUGAAGAAUCGCAGUUUACAUCGAAGAAAAAGAAAAUGAAAAGCUGCUCGACGAGCGGUUAAGCAUCAUCAGAGAAACUAGAUAUUAAAAAAUGGAUUUCCAAAAUAAAAUAAAAUAAUGUCCAGGCCAUUUCCUUUCGAGGCAUACUCUUCUUAGUUUGAACCCUUUUCAAAAGGUAUUAAGGGGCAGGAGCAGCCAGAGGCGGGGAUCAAUUU
rnacentral:misc_RNA from 1 species